GGACCACAAGGAAAGCAUGGUGCGCCGCGCGAGUGGCCACAGGGAACCGGGUGCAACUCCCGGACUGCCCCCGCAACUGUAAGCGGAGAGUGCCGAGGAACGUCCCACUGGCCGCGAGGCCGGGAAGGGCCGAGGCGCGAUGACCCGCAAGUCAGGAGACCUGCCAUGUGCCCCCUUUUCCA
rnacentral:ncRNA from 2 species